CGAGGUGUAGCGCAGUUUGGUAGCGCGCUUGGUUCGGGACCAAGAGGCCAUGGGUUCGAAUCCCGUCACCUCGACCA
rnacentral:tRNA from 1 species